CAAAGUGUUACUUACUCUGGCUGAUGUCUUAUACAGGUGUUUGUAACCAUGCUUUUCAUUUUCAUUGCAUAAGCCGUUGGCUCAAGACCCGUCAAGUGUGUCCUCUAGGUAUGUUGACUAAAUUUCUUUCACCUUUCAUUUUAUGUUUGGACCCAGUGAUUAAUUAGUGUUCUCACUUGCUUGAUGUUUCUCUGCUGGUACAGAUAACAGUGAGUGGGAGUUCCAGAAAUACGGUCACUAGAACUUUGAUGCGGUUGAGCUGCGCCUACUCGGACAUUUGGACUUCUUCUAUAUUUCUGUUGAAACAUUUACUGCUGUCUGCAUUGUCUUUUUGUUUUGUCUACUUGAGCUUAACUCUCUUUUAAGUUAUUAUUGAGUUACUGCUAAUUAGCGUUCUGUGUAAGGAAUUAAAAAUGAAUAGUUGUUGAAAUUACAGUAUUUUAGAAUCAGCACAUUACUUUGCAUAUUUUUUUCUUUGGGGUCAGCUGAUGAGUAAAAUCAAUACACAAAGUCAA
rnacentral:lncRNA from 1 species